ACCGGAAACACGUGACCUCCACAGUAACCGGAAACACGUGACCUCCACAGUAACCGGAAACACGUGACCUCCACAGUAGGCAGAAAUACGUUCCUGCGUGGAUCAUCGACUGUGGAAAUCUUGCAAGUGGAUCCUAAAGAUGCUCAUAUCAAAUUGGAAUUCUGCCUCCAAUCCAGAAUUGCAGGAAUGCACAACAUGUUGCAGAAGACUCUUUCACUGCCCUCUGUGCCCCACUUUCAGCCCUACUGUCAAGGCAAAGAUUGAGGAGCAUAUAAAUGGACACAUUAAAAAUGCUUUGCCUUUCAAAGACAAAAUGAUAUACUGGUGCACUUUCACUGCCCUGUCUGUAACAUGACAGUCAUACAGCGUUGGGAUAUGGCAAGGCAAUUUUUCUCAUGUCAGCAUUCAGGACUGCUCCCCACUGAACUCUCUGAGGAGCCCCAUCUCCCUCUCGAUGUCUUGUCUCCAGUAUCUAAACCAUUUUCUGAAUCUUCAGUAGAACAUUCAUGUGUUCUACCCUCUGUGCUAAAUGAAACUGUGGCUUGUAGAAAGUCCUUGAAAAUGAAACGCCCUCACUGUGGUCCUAGUCUUCUUAAAAAAAAAUUCAAGGCUCACAUGGUGAGGAGGCAUUCAAAUAGAUGUUUGCCUGGCUUGUCAUCUGCAGUGUUUUUGUGUAGAGGGACUUCUUCCUCUUUGUUUUUCAGUUUGCAGAGGACAUGGAGCUCUUUUUAAAAGCUUGUGCUGAUGAGCAGGGACUAUGGGUCAAUGCGAUGUUUGACAUUUAAUGGACAGAUGAAGGCACUGGCUGUUUGUUUGUGUUUUUUAUGUGUUGUUGUUGUUUUUCAGUGUACAGAAUUCCAGUUAAACUUAUUAUUAAAUAUUCACUUGUUUCCAUUUUAUAGUAAAAAAAUUAAGUGUAAAUGCAACAGCAUUGUUUGUUGAUAUUAACAUUAAUAUAUUACCCUGUAAUCAAUAAUAUUUUUAUACAUUUUACGCAUUACCCCUCUGGGCUCUAUCCUGGCCAUUUGUGGCUUGACCUCUCUUUUUUUUUUUUUUUUUUUUGACUACUACACUGCAGUGGACCAAAAGAAUGACAUAGGUUUGAUCUUAAGGAUCUAAUACUUGUGUGUGUUUGUGCAUGACAUUGCAACGCAAAUAUGUAUUUGCAAGGUAGACUGAAAUAAAUAAUGACUCAUCAAAUAUUACACAGGCUGCAGUGAAUUUUUGUUGAUACUGGCUAUUGAGAUUUGAGUUUCCCAGUCAAACUUAGCUUUGAAGCACAUGCUAAAAACACUUUUACUCUUGUACAUUUCAUAAAAAGACACCAUAGCCAAAAUAUUAACAAAAUAUAUAUUAAUAAAAAAUUCAAAGCUGCAGCACAUACAGCAACAAACACUGUUAGUAAAUGUGUCCGGGAGUUUAUGCAGGUGCAGAAAGUGCUGUUGCUGUAAGUAAGCCUAACAGCUUCCAGAUCACUUAUUUUUCUGGAAAGAUGGUAGGAAGGGCAUCACUGCUCAUUUCUACAAUCUCCCAGAUCUUGGAAUACAAUGCCUUUGUACCAUGAAACCACUUCACAGUAGUCCACUAAAACCUAUAAAGAGAGUGAUCCUGGAAGAAAUGGGGCACACACUAGUGACCUCAACAAUUGCAAGACAGCCUUUUCCCCGAUGCUCAGAUGGGGCGGGAGGAAGUUUCAUGAAAACGUUAGGACUUUAUCACCGUUUUAUCUGAAAAGUUAAUGGUAAUAUAUAACCUAACUGACUAUAAAGAGUAAAAAAUUUAAAUACAAUUUUGAUUUUGAUGAAAAGGAUUUUUAAAGAGUCACGUCGGUAAAAGUAGAUAAAUGUUUUAAGAAAUAUACAUUUUAUAGCAUUUUGUGAACAUACACAAAAAGUGGCCAUUUUUGGCAACGAACAAACUGAGAGAAAGUUUUAUAUUUUUUGCUCUCCUUGAACAAAAAUAAGAGUGCAUAAUAAUCAGUGUUGAUGUUAAUCAAUUAAAUGUCCCAGACUCUACUAUUAAUAAUACAGCAGUCCCUCGUUUAUCGCUGGUGUUACGUUCUAAAAAUAACCCGCGCGCGGUAGGUGAAAUCCCUGAAGUAGCCAACUUUAUUUUUUACAAUUAUAGAUGUUAAGACUGUAAAACCCCUCACCACAUGCUUUAUACACUUUUCUCAGACAGGCAUGAACAUUUUCACAAUGUUCUCUUUUGUUUAAACACUCUUAGAGUUCAAACCUUCGUAGAAACAUAAGUCCAGUAUUAUGGAAUGAAACCAAAAGGUGCCUUUGGCGGUGCAAAACGUAUCGUCGGCAUUGUUGUGUUUGUUUGGGAGAAAACCUACAAACAUACAGUACAGCACUUCAGAGUUACACUGCUAG